CCUCAAUAGUCAGGGCCCCUCUACUGCUGACCCACGUUGUUCCAGACUUCGGACCACUGUAUCAGACCUGAUCCUGACGUGGAAGGCCUCAGAACACAGAACCAAACACAACUGGAUCGGAGAAGGGCUCCGCUGGAAUUUAGGCCCUCGGUGGAGGGAGAGCGAGAGUGCGAGAGAGAGAGCGAGAGAGAGAGAGAGAGAGAGAGAGAGAGAGAGAGAGAGAGAGAGAGAGAGAGAGAGAGAGAGAGAGAGAGAGAGAGAGAGAGAGAGGGGGGGGGGGGGGGGGGGCAUGCCCAUGCACGGCAUCCGUGCAUCCCUUGCACGGACGGACAAUAUAAUAAUAGCGUGCAGCACCAGGGAUUUGGAAGGAGAGUUGGAUGUAAGAAGGAGCGUCUCCGCCGCUACGACUUGAUGAAUGUUGUGAACACAUCGAGACUCUCAGGUCCACCUCUCUGUGUUGGAGUAGAGCAGGACUCUCAGAGGACAAUCCAUUUCACAUUCCCUGUGCCAAAUGACAGCUGACAUAUUUGUAUUUAUUUUUCUACACAUCUUCGAUUUCUAUUGCUCAAAUUAAAGUUAGUCUAUUUAUUUUUUUAUAUUACAGAAUGUAAAAUCGUUGAUGAUGCAUUUUGAGUGUUAUGUACAUAUUCGACUAGUCGAAUGUCUUAAAUAAAAGGUAUACUUCCUAAUACCUUCUGUCUGGAUGUUAUGAAAUGUACAAUUUGUUACACGCCCGAACAAAAACCUGUGUUUAAUAAUAAACAGAUUAUUUUUUGCCAUUAAUCUUGUCAUUAUCCAUUGCUACAAUCAGGCAAAAAUGCAUUAUUGUAGCCUAUUGUAUCUAUAUUUUUUAUUUAUUCUUUAAAUAUUCGUCAUUUUAAAAUAGUGUUGCACAUGGCGUUGGAACAAAUUAUUCUUAACACGUCGGGAAUCCCCAGAUGUUGAGACCUAGGGUAACUCGUUGUGUUCUGCAGAUGCUCCCAUAUGAUCUUAUUUUAAUGGUUUGGCCAGGUCCUCAAAACCACGCGAUACUGAAUGAUCAGCUCGGUGGCAGCCUGCUGGUUCCGUAAAAG
rnacentral:lncRNA from 1 species